UACGUAGGCAGCAAGCGUUGUUCGGAAUUACUGGGCGUAAAGAGUGUGUAGGCGGUGUUCCAAGUCUGGUGUGAAAUCUCCCGGCUUAACUGGGAGGGUGCAUUAGAAACUGGAAUGCUAGAGGAUGGGAGAGGUAAGCGGAAUUCCUGGUGUAGCGGUGAAAUGCGUAGAUAUCCGGAGGAAGACCGGUGGCGAAGGCGGUCUGCUGGGCAGUUUCUGACACUGAUGCGCGACAGCGUGGGGAGCAAACAGG
rnacentral:rRNA from 1 species